rnacentral:rRNA from 1 species
CCUACGGGAGGCAGCAGUGAGGAAUAUUGGUCAAUGGACGAGAGUCUGAACCAGCCAAGUAGCGUGAAGGAUGACUGCCCUAUGGGUUGUAAACUUCUUUUAUAUGGGAAUAAAACGUUCCACGUGUGGGAUUUUGUAUGUACCAUAUGAAUAAGGAUCGGCUAACUCCGUGCCAGCAGCCGCGGUAAUACGGAGGAUCCGAGCGUUAUCCGGAUUUAUUGGGUUUAAAGGGAGCGUAGGUGGAUUGUUAAGUCAGUUGUGAAAGUUUGCGGCUCAACCGUAAAAUUGCAGUUGAAACUGGCAGUCUUGAGUACAGUAGAGGUGGGCGGAAUUCGUGGUGUAGCGGUGAAAUGCUUAGAUAUCACGAGGAACUCCGAUUGCGAAGGCAGUUCACUGGACUGCAACUGACACUGAGGCUCGAAAGUGUGGGUAUCAAACAGGAUUAGAUACCCGAGUAGUC